rnacentral:lncRNA from 1 species
AUAUUUCUUUGUACCAGCUACUUAGGAUUAUCUUAUUAGGCACAAAGAAAGGGGUAGCAACUUGGAGAAUUGCUUCCCAGGUGGUCAGUGGUGAGCAGCCGAGAAGGCUGAAGUGCAUGGGAAGGAUGCAUUCCUGGGGCAUGUUUCCCAGAGACACUCACAACCCCUCAGGAAAGAAAUCUUCCUGUGGAAGCACAAGGUAAUGAGUGGAGUCAGUUAGCUGGGUAUUAAAAGAAAGCGACCCCUUUGAAAGCCAGAUAACAUAAGGUCACACAGAAGUGCAGGUAAGCACGUCCUUUCAAUCUAUCAUAACUGCUCUGCUACAGCAGCUGUUCUCCACCUUGACUGCAAACUGGAAUCACCUAGGAGCUUUAAAAAAUGCUGAUGCAAAAAUCCCUCUGCAGAGAGCUGAAAUUCAUUGGUCAUGGUAAGGCCUGGGCAUCCACAUUUCUAAAGCUCUCCUGGCGGCCACAGUGUGCAGCUACGGCUGAGACCCAUGGUUGUGAGAGGAAGGAACAAAGGUGCCCUGGAGGCUAAACCAGUCUGGGGAUGGGUGUGGGAGGUAUGUUAGGGGAGGGGCAGGAGCCCCAAAAGGAAGUGAGAUAUUUUCAACAAGGCGAGGCAGCCAGAAAGAGCGAGGAGGAAGGGUGGAAGGGGGUGAGGAUGGCUUACACUGUCUUCCCCUCAGGGAAUCUUUCAAACCAACUGGACAUAUGUUUUCUGCUAGAAUGUCUGAUUGGUGGCCCACAGAUGCUCUGCUGAAACCCCUUCUGGUCCCAGAAUUCUUGGACAUUUUCCCACAGAUGGGGUCUCUACCUGGCCAGCACCAUGACACCUGCACACAUGACGACAAAGAGAAGGGAGGAGGAACCUCCAUAUUGGAUGUACUUGGCUUCCAGGUAUCCCUUUUCUAUUGGCACAGCUGCCGCAUUCACCUGUGCAAGCUUCCAGCUUGCUAAUCUACGCUUGCAGCUUGAUUUUUCAGGCUUGUAUCCUAACCACUCAUAUUUUCCAUUCUUUUGUUUCUCUGUACUGUGCCCUGGAUAAUAACUUCUUUUUUCUUUAAAAAAGUGUAACAAGAUCUUAAAAUUCAAUUUCAAAAAUAAUUUUUUAUUUUAUUAUUUAUUUAUUUAUUUAGAGAUGGAGUCUCGCUCUGUCACCCAGGCUGGAGUGCAGUGGCACGAUCUUGGCUCAUUGCAGCCUCCACCUCCUGGGUUCAAGUGAUUCUCCUGUCUCAGCUUCCCAAAUAGCUGGGAUUACAGGUGUGCACCACCACGCCUGGCUAAUUUUUGUAUGUUUAGUAGAGACGGGGUUUCACCAUGUUGUCCAGGCUGGUCUCGAACUCCUGACCUCAGGUGAUCCACCUGCCUCAGCCUCCGAAAGUGCUGGGAUUACAGAUGUGAGCCACCACACCCGGCCAAAUUUUAUUUCUAUAUACAUGCAGCAAACAUUGAAAAAAGUUUCAAAAAAGCAAUCACAGAUCUACCCUCCCUAUGAUGGUUAAUUUUAUGUGUCAACCAGCUAGACUGAUUAGGUAAAAUGCGAGUCUUGAUGUUGGUGUGAAGGUAUUUUUAAAGAUGAGAUUAACAUUUAAAUCCAUAGAUUUUUGAGUAAAGCAGAUUACCCUCCAUAAUGUGGGUGAGUUUCACUUCUAUCACUUGAAGGAAGGCCUUAAGAGAAAAGAAGCCUGAGGUCCCUUGAGGAGGAGUUAAUUCUGCCUCCAGACUGCUUUUGCUCAAGCUGAAACAUCCACUCUUACCUGGGUCUCUAGCCUGUUGGUCUGCCCUGCAGUUUUUGAACUUGCCAGCCUCCACAGUUCCUUCAAAUAAAUCUCUAUGUUCAUUCUAUUGGUUCUGUUUCUCUGGAGAACCCUAAUACCCUUCCUUUUCUCUUUCUUUUCUUUUUUUUCUUUCCUUUCUUUCUUUCUUUUUUUUUGACAGGGUCUCAUUCCAUCACCCAGGCAGGGCCGGAGGGCAAUGGCAUGAACAUAGCUCACUGCAGUCUUGACCUCCUGGGCUCAAGCUAUCCUCCCACCUCAGCCUCCUGAGUAGCUGGGACUACAGACACAUGCCACCAUGCCUAAUUUUAAAACUUUUUGUAGAGAAGGGGUCUCACCAUGUUGCCUGGAAUGGUCUCAACUCCUGGGCCCAAGUGAUCCUCCCACUUCAGCCUCCCAAAGUUCUGGGAUUACAGAAGUGAGCCAUUGUACCUGGAGACUCCCUUUUUUGCUCAGUU